GGAUGUGAGGGCGAUCUGGCUGUGACAUCUGUCAGCUCAUUGAUUACCAGGGUUGAUUCGGCUGAUCUGGCUGGCUAGGCGGGUGUCCCCUUCCUCCCUCACCACUCCAUGUGUGUCCCUCCCAAAGAUGCAUACUCGUUUGGAGAGGACGACCUUCCCUGAUAGAGGAGAGCACCAUUCUUAGGUCAAGGAUAUACGAGUUAGCUGCACUCCCCUGCUAGAACCUCCAAACAAGCUCUCGAAGUCUUUGUGAAAUAUUGUGAUGGAUUUUUUUUUUUUACCUUGUAAAUAUCCCUUCACAAUGAUUAAUUAGAUCUAAAG
rnacentral:snRNA from 1 species